GGGUGGGGAGCCAAGAGCGGAGGAGAAAACAGAAGAGAGGAGCGGGCCGCAGAGCACCCACACUGGCGGCCGCGGGAGCGCGGGGUGAGGAGCGAGGAGGGCGCAGGAGGGGGAGUGGUCAGCGGGGCGGGGAGCGGCGGCUUCAGCCCUCCUUUCCCCUCGAGGCGCCGGACAGCCAGGUGCCUGCGCUGGGGGUGUGCGAGUGCGGGCGUGAGUGGCAGUGGCCGUGGCCGCCACCGGGACUGCUCCUGGGGCCCCGCGGCUCCGCGCGUCCGCCAGGGCUCACGGGGGCCCGGGGCGGCCGCUGGUUGGCUCGCUCGCCGCCCUCGCCUCCAAUCCCCGGUGCCUGCCCUAAUUUCCUGAUCCAGGGAACCUGCCGCCGCGGCAGCUCUGAGCUCCCUACAGUCAUUACCGUACCCUCUCGGCAGCCGCCAGCAGUCAGUGCAGCCGCCGAAGCAGUUAGCGCUGAUGCAACUAUUACUGCUAUUGCCACCGUCUUCCCACUAACGGGGUUUGCAGCCCCUGGGGGGGGGGGUUGCAGCUUCCAAGGGCAGCAGGCAUCUCUCUACCACCCUCUCCUGCGCCCCAAAGAGAGGCCGGUACUGUGAGGCCGUCCAUCAGGGUGAUGCAGAAGACUGUCCUAUGAACCAGGCAGAGCAAUGGAAGCCAAAGAGAGGGCUCCGGUGUCUAGCCACAGGCACGCCACAAGGGACGAGAAGGAGCAGCAGUUUCAGCGAACAGGGGAAGAGAAGCUGUGUGUGGACAGCCUCUGCUUUAAGUCCAGCAUUAAAGGAAUUCACAAUGAGUCUCAAGCUCUUCCAUGGUUAUGAGCAAGAGGUCCCUGGAGCUAAGAGAUACUGAUACCAUGUGAAAAGUGGGAAUAUACCAAUCCUGAGUUGAAAAGCAAUCCAGGAGAGUUAGAACCUAAUGUGAAGAAGUAUGGGAUAUAGUUUAACUGCUGCAUUUUUUCUCUUAACGUGUGAAGAAUCCUGUCAAAGAGCUGCAUUUUCUUCAUCAGUUAGAAAAGACUAUGCUCAUAGAUCACGGCAACUGGUAGGCACUCCAGGGUGAGACGUAGCAGAGGCACAAUCACGCUCAGCUUCCUGCUCAACUCCAGACAGUGAUGUUCCAGGCCCUCUACUCUAGGGUCAUCUUCUCAGUGGCACCUCUGCCACUAGCAGAAAGCCUCAGCUUACCCACGGGAGAAGGUGACGCUGACCUGGAAGUUCUGCUCAGAAAGGAGAAAGAAGAGCCUCUUAUGUAACUUGAAGAGUAUAAAGGAGCCAAUGGUAAAAGCCACUGCCCUGAACUCUUCCAAAACUCCAUAAAUCUCUUGCGUAGGAUUCUGCAGUCAUGGCAAAGGUAUUGUUUGUCUUGCUUGUCUUACG